rnacentral:rRNA from 1 species
GACUCCAUGAAGCUGGAUUCGCUAGUAAUCGCGCAUCAGCCACGGCGCGGUGAAUACGUUCCCGGGCCUUGUACACACCGCCCGUCAAGCCAUGGAAGCCGGGGGUGCCUGAAGUGCGCUGCCGCAGGAGCGCCCUAGGGUAAAACCGGUGACUGGGGCUAAGUCGUAACAAGGUACC